GUCCACUAGAGAGCGGAUUGUGCAGGUCUCCGUGAGGUCCGUGGCUUGUCGGACUCGGUACGGCUAUAGGAGCGAAAGCCCCGCCCAACACCACCUCCAUAUUCCUUCCCGCAACCAGUCCUCGACCAGUAAGAUGGGCUGAAAAAAGGACUUAACCCACGUUUGCCCCUGUGAACCCCCACCUGGAGCCAGCCAGUGGAGGAAGGGGGGUUACCCCAAAUCACCAUGGUCCACUCCAGGGGAUUAUCCCUAUAUGCUAUCCAGGGAGUGUUUUUUCUUGCUAUAUUCACCUGUGGCUUAUUUUGUGGAAAUUUAGGCUAGGGUAAACUGAAGUGCAUGCUUUGUAAUGAGCGCUAUAUAAAUAAAAUUUGAUUGAUUGA